rnacentral:rRNA from 1 species
UUGAACGCUGGCGGCAGGCCUAACACAUGCAAGUCGAGCGGUAGCACAGAGAGCUUGCUCUCGGGUGACGAGCGGCGGACGGGUGAGUAAUGUCUGGGAAACUGCCUGAUGGAGGGGGAUAACUACUGGAAACGGUAGCUAAUACCGCAUAAUGUCGCAAGACCAUAGUGGGGGACCUUCGGGCCUCAUGCCAUCAGAUGUGCCCAGAUGGGAUUAGCUAGUAGGUGGGGUAACGGCUCACCUAGGCGACGAUCCCUAGCUGGUCUGAGAGGAUGACCAGCCACACUGGAACUGAGACACGGUCCAGACUCCUACGGGAGGCAGCAGUGGGGAAUAUUGCACAAUGGGCGCAAGCCUGAUGCAGCCAUGCCGCGUGUGUGAAGAAGGCCUUCGGGUUGUAAAGCACUUUCAGCGGGGAGGAAGGCGGUGAGGUUAAUAACCUCAUCGAUUGACGUUACCCGCAGAAGAAGCACCGGCUAACUCCGUGCCAGCAGCCGCGGUAAUACGGAGGGUGCAAGCGUUAAUCGGAAUUACUGGGCGUAAAGCGCACGCAGGCGGUCUGUCAAGUCGGAUGUGAAAUCCCCGGGCUCAACCUGGGAACUGCAUUCGAAACUGGCAGGCUAGAGUCUUGUAGAGGGGGGUAGAAUUCCAGGUGUAGCGGUGAAAUGCGUAGAGAUCUGGAGGAAUACCGGUGGCGAAGGCGGCCCCCUGGACAAAGACUGACGCUCAGGUGCGAAAGCGUGGGGAGCAAACAGGAUUAGAUACCCUGGUAGUCCACGCCGUAAACGAUGUCGAUUUGGAGGUUGUGCCCUUGAGGCGUGGCUUCCGGAGCUAACGCGUUAAAUCGACCGCCUGGGGAGUACGGCCGCAAGGUUAAAACUCAAAUGAAUUGACGGGGGCCCGCACAAGCGGUGGAGCAUGUGGUUUAAUUCGAUGCAACGCGAAGAACCUUACCUGGUCUUGACAUCCACAGAACUUUCCAGAGAUGGAUUGGUGCCUUCGGGAACUGUGAGACAGGUGCUGCAUGGCUGUCGUCAGCUCGUGUUGUGAAAUGUUGGGUUAAGUCCCGCAACGAGCGCAACCCUUAUCCUUUGUUGCCAGCGGUUAGGCCGGGAACUCAAAGGAGACUGCCAGUGAUAAACUGGAGGAAGGUGGGGAUGACGUCAAGUCAUCAUGGCCCUUACGACCAGGGCUACACACGUGCUACAAUGGCAUAUACAAAGAGAAGCGACCUCGCGAGAGCAAGCGGACCUCAUAAAGUAUGUCGUAGUCCGGAUUGGAGUCUGCAACUCGACUCCAUGAAGUCGGAAUCGCUAGUAAUCGUAGAUCAGAAUGCUACGGUGAAUACGUUCCCGGGCCUUGUACACACCGCCCGUCACACCAUGGGAGUGGGUUGCAAAAGAAGUAGGUAGCUUAACCUUCGGGAGGGCGCUUACCACUUUGUGAUUCAUGACUGGGGUG